GGGGCGGCGGCGGCGGCGGCGAUCUAAGCUAUGAGCUCCCGACGCACGCCGAGGAGCCUCUCGCUCUGCCAAGCCGCCGGCUCGCUAGCUCCACGGAGCAGGCGCCGCGGAGGGAGGAGCGUGCCCUCUACGGCGUGCGCACGCAGCCAAUCGGCAGCCACGCAGCCGUCUGUCCGAAAGUUUGGCGACGCCUCGGCGCAAGCGCCUUCCUCUGAGCGGAAGUGACGAAAAGCUUCGAUCAGGCGCUAGGUAGGGUGAGCGAGAAGGGACAAGCGCGGCGCGGAGGGGAUCUGACCUCGAGGAGGCGCUGUGGAGACUGAGGAAAGCCGAGGGUUGACGUUGCCGAGUGAGCCGUGGCUCGUCCCCUUGAGCGACGAGUAGAAGUGGCCUUGCUGCCUGCGCACCUUCAGAGCCAGGUCCUUGGUCCCCUGGAGCCCCAGGCUGCCCCGCUGGAGUUAGCGACAGUGCAUUCUGCCCUAAACCUACAAGUUACUGAAGACUUUGUUCACGAUGGUAACUCAUCCACCGUCACGACUAUGGAAAAAUAAAGUUACCUCGCCUGGCGAUGGCUCGAGUCUAUCUACCAUCUGGAGAAUGAGUAUGUUUUGGACGGCCGGUAGCUGCUGCACCCCUGCGAACUUGUACAGAGGUACACAUUCUAGGGUAUCCCAUGCCGUGGCAGCCCAGGCAGGAGUUUUAGGCUGGCCUGGCUACCCUGCAAGAUCCUGUGUCACAGCUAGCAUGGGCUACCUAGCAAGGGUAGCCUGGCAUACAAGUGAAGGAUUCUGUCUCAGAUGAAUAAAAACAAUCCUCA